rnacentral:rRNA from 1 species
GACGAACGCUGGCGGCGUGCCUAACACAUGCAAGUCGAGCGGAGACAUGAGGGAGCUUGCUCCCGAAUGUUUUAGCGGCGGACGGGUGAGUAACGCGUGAGCAACCUUUCUCUCAGUGGGGAAUAACACACCGAAAGGUGUACUAAUACCGCAUGAGACCACAGUGCCGCAUGGUACAGGGGUCAAAGAUUUAUUGCUGAGAGGUGGGCUCGCGUCCGAUUAGAUAGUUGGUGAGGUAACGGCUCACCAAGUCGACGAUCGGUAGCCGACCUGAGAGGGUGAUCGGCCACAUUGGGACUGAGACACGGCCCAAACUCCUACGGGAGGCAGCAGUGGGGAAUAUUGGGCAAUGGGCGAAAGCCUGACCCAGCAACGCCGCGUGAAGGAAGAAGGUCUUCGGAUCGUAAACUUCUGUCCUAAGUGAAGAGAAGAAGACGGUAGCUUAGGAGGAAGCCCCGGCUAACUACGUG